rnacentral:lncRNA from 1 species
GCAUCCCUAUUCCUCUUGGUCACUUCCCCUUCCCUCCCCUCUCCCCUUCCUUUCCCUUCCUCUCCCAGAUCACAGUGAGCAGGAGGAGCUCUGGGACACAGCAGGGAGAUUCCUUCCUUCCCAGGCAGCCUCUGGCAGGCAGGAAAGCAGGAACUGCCUGAAACAGAGAGAUCUGUCUGGUUUUGGCGGAGGGUGAUACGGGGAAAGGGUAGAACUGUCUUCUCCCAAUUACUCUGGAAAAAGCCACUUCUGAAGGACCUGGAACAAGAAGAGUUUCCACUGAUGUAAAGUAAUGUCAGA